GGCAUACCAAAACCAGUAAUCAAAUCAGGAUCUUGAAUAAGUUAAAAGAGAUAUACGGCUAUGUCAUAUCAUCUAAGCACUCUUGGAUUAGAAUUAGAAUUUUGCUGAAUACAUGAUCAAUAUCCAUGCAAUUGUUUAAUAUUACAUCACUUUUUAUAUUUGAUUAUUUGAAAAUAAAAUUUGAAUUAGUUUUUCUUAAGAUUAGAAUUAGUUUUUCUUAGGACUAAUACAUAAUCAAUAUCCAAUUUUAUUUUAAUCCGUAUAGGUAGGGGUGCACAAAUUAACUGGUCUUCAAACAAAAAUCACAUCCAUAUCCUUAACCAAAUUUAAAUAACCAGAUAUUUACAAUAUGGUUUUUAUCCUGACCAUAAAUUUUGGAUCGGUUUGUCCAUUUUUUUAACCAGUUAAUAACAUGGAUGUCCGUAUUUUUAACCAAUAUGUUAUUGUGGCUCUAAUGUAGGCGCAUGAAGCUAGUUAUUGUGUCGGUAACUUUGGUAUUAUAAACGCAAAUUUAAUUUUCACCUUAAUUAAUCACAAAUUUCUGUCAAAAUAAAACAGACAAAAAAACAAUUAAAAAAGUAAACUCAUAAAGUUAAUUGAAUUCUCGUCGUAAUUAAUCACAACAACUUCCACAAUCAAACGCUACAGGAUCUGUCUCUCUCCACCGGCAAAGAUGAAGCACGAAACGCAAGUGCAAGAGACGCCGCAGAGCUUCCAUCUUCAUCAAGUCCUAGCACCUCCGCAAAAUCCAGACCCAUUACAUUAGCAAGCAUAGCCAAACCAAAGAAAACUCAGAUCCCAAUUUCACCGUCACUUCUUCCCCUUCCCAUGUUAAAUUGAAGAGCCCAUUACCACCAAGAAUCUUCCCAUGCCACAUCACGCACUGUAUUCUCUCUAGAGGCUCUCUAUCUAAGUGGAUUUUUUUUUAAUUGUCUUUUUUUUUACGAUUUUAAAAAAAAAAAAAACAGUUUUUAACGGAAAUAACCGGUUUUUAGUCUAGAUUUCAAAAUAACCGGUUAAAAAUUUGGAUUUAAAAAAAAACCACUUUUAAACUGGUUUGGUUAAAAUAACCAGUGAUAUAUCCAUAACCAAAUUUAUAACUAGUUUUGUAACCGGUUUAUAAUAAAAUAUGGUUAUGGUUAUGAAUCCAACUCCAAUUAAAUAGUUUUGGUUUGGAUAUGACUUGGUUUGUCAAAUUAUCCGACCAUGCACACCCCUACGUAUAGGUUAGCUGCUCCUUUCAUCGCUGCUGCCAUUUUGUCGUACUAUAAGUAUAAGUCUUGUUUAUAUAUUUUGUAAAAAUUAUUGGUCAAUCGGAAGAAAUCGAUCGAAUUUCGUACAAGUUAGACAAAAUAUAAUGUUGUUGCUAACUUUGGGGGUACUCUUUAAAAAAUUAUUUGCUAAUGACACAAGGUCAAUGAAAAGCAAAGCCGUAAUGUCUAGUAAUUGGUAAAAAGAGAGUAUCUUCUCCCUUGGAAGUUUUUGAUUUGGUGUUUAUUUUCGGUGUUCCGACACCUAUGUUAUGUAGUUAUUUUUUAUUGGUCUUUGUUCAUCUUGUACAAAGACCCGGUUAUUAAUAUAUUUUGUUGUUCAAAAAGAAAAAACAUCUUUAAUAUAUAUAUAUAUGGGGUUUGCUAACUUAGACCCACCUAAAAACAUGAAGGUUUAAGUUAGCAAGGUAUACAUUUUCAUUUUGAACAAAAAAAUCUUGACAUUUAGUUGUUUUACACUAGAAAAUUGAGGGCUAGUUAGGUAAAUUUUAUUAAAUGUUGGUGCAAUCAUUUUCUAAUUUACACGCACUUAAUUAUAAAUAUAUGCGAUCUAAAUAAACAACAUAGGAAAUCAAAAAACGACAACUUAAGAAAACAUGUUACUCAACUUUGAAAAAAUGCACCUUGCUAACUUAGACUUUCAUGUUAAAACAUCAAAUCAGUUUUACUAAACUACCCUUGCCUUGAAACUAUAUUAAAAUAGUAAAAAAAAGUGUUUUGGUCUAAAGUGAAAAGGUGGUCUAAAGUGAAAAGGUGCACCUUGCUAACAUAGACCUUUAUGUUUUUAGGUGGGUCAAACUCCGGUCCACUGGACUAAUUAAUCUGGUUUGGGGGUCAGUUCUGACAUCAAAUGAUUCCAAGUACUUAGGACUAGUACGUACGAGUAUCUGAUCAAUAUCUGCCUAAUUUUGUCUUCAAGAUAGUAGUAUCAAAAUCUAAAAAAAAAUUUUGCUCGAUGAAAAUUAAAAUUAAAAUGAAAGUCUUUUGGUGAAAAAUAAUAUAGAAGUAU
rnacentral:lncRNA from 1 species